rnacentral:rRNA from 1 species
UACGUAGGGUGCGAGCGUUGUCCGGAAUUAUUGGGCGUAAAGGGCUCGUAGGCGGUUUGUCGCGUCGGGAGUGAAAACCUUGGGCUUAACUCAGGGCUUGCUUUCGAUACGGGCAGACUAGAGGUAUGCAGAGGAGAACGGAAUUCCUGGUGUAGCGGUGAAAUGCGCAGAUAUCAGGAGGAACACCGGUGGCGAAGGCGGUUCUCUGGGCAUGAUCUGACGCUGAGACGCGAAAGCGUGGGGAGCAAACAGG